rnacentral:rRNA from 1 species
UACGUAGGGGGCUAGCGUUGUCCGGAAUCAUUGGGCGUAAAGCGCGCGUAGGCGGCCCGGUAAGUCCGCUGUGAAAGUCAAAGGCUCAACCUUUGAAUGUCAGCGGAUACUGCCGGGCUAGAGUCCGGAAGAGGCGAGUGGAACUCCUGGUGUAGCGGUGGAAUGCGCAGAUAUCGGGAGGAACACCAAUGGCGAAGGCAGCUCGCUGGGACGUUACUGACGCUGAGACGCGAAAGCGUGGGGAGCAAACAGG